rnacentral:rRNA from 1 species
UACGACUACAUAUCAGGCAUAUCAAUAAGCGGAGGAAAAGAAACUAACAAGGAUUCCCCUAGUAACGGCGAGUGAAGCGGGAAGAGCUCAAAUUUGAAAUCUUAAAGGGUUUCCCUUUACGAAUUGUAGUUUAAAGAAGUGUUUUCUGUUGGAGUUUCGGUAAAAGUUCUUUGGAAUAGGACAUCAUAGAGGGUGAGAAUCCCGUAUUUGACCAUUUCUUCCAGCUGUGUGGUACACUUUCAAAGAGUCGGAUUGUUUGGGAAUGCAGUCCAAAAUGGGCGGUAAAUUUCAUCUAAAGCUAAAUAUUGGCGAGAGACCGAUAGCGAACAAGUACCGUGAGGGAAAGAUGAAAAGAACUUUGAAAAGAGAGUUAAACAGUACGUGAAAUUGUCAAAAGGGAAGCGUUUGACACCAGUGUUGUUUUCUCGAAAAUCAAUUAAAAAUGGUAGGAUUUUGUGUUGUAUUGACUUUAUCAGCUUUCUGCACUUUUUUCCUAUCUUUUUUAAUGCACUUUUCGUUUAACAAGUCAACAUCAAUUUCUUUUGUUGUAAAAGAGUCAUUGGAAGGUGGCUUUCUUUUCGGAGAAAGUGUUUAUAGCCUUUUACUUCUGCAAUCGGAGAGAUUGAGGUCUGCAGCGUAGAUCCUUCGGGGUUAGAUACAUUUGUGCUAAGCUAUAGCCUUGUAUAGACAACUUGUUGACUAUGCUCAGUCAUGUAGCUUACUCGCUUAUGCUAUUUUACCUACGCUUAGGAUGUUGACGCGCGUGUGUGCGUG